AGUCGAGCGGCAGCGCGAUUAGUAGCAAUACUAAUUGGCGGCGAGCGGCGGACGGGUGAGGAACACGUAGGAACCUGCCUAAAAGAGGGGGAUAACUAAUGGAAACGUUAGCUAAUACCGCAUAAUGUCGAAAGACCAAAGCUGCAGCAAUGUAGCACUUUUAGAGGGGCCUGCGUCCGAUUAGCUAGUUGGUGAGGUAAAAGCUCACCAAGGCGAUGAUCGGUAACUGGUCUGAGAGGACGACCAGUCACACUGGGACUGAGACACGGCCCAGACUCCUACGGGAGGCAGCAGUGGGGAAUCUUGGACAAUGGGGGCAACCCUGAUCCAGCGAUGCCGCGUGAGUGAAGAAGGCCUUCGGGUCGUAAAGCUCUUUAGGCUGGGAAGAAGGCUAUUUGAGGAAAUGCGAGUAGUUUGACUGUACCAGCAGAAUAAGCACCGGCAAACUCUGUGCCAGCAGCCGCGGUAAUACAGAGGGUGCGAGCGUUGAUCGGAGUUACUGGGCGUAAAGGGCGCGUAGGCGGUCGUGUGAGUGUGAUGUGAAAGCCCCGGGCUUAACCUGGGAAGAGCAUCGCAAACGACACGACUGGAGUAGAUGAGAGGGUGGUGGAAUUUCCGGUGUAGCGGUGAAAUGCGUAGAGAUCGGAAGGAACGUCAAUGGCGAAGGCAGCCACCUGGCAUCAUACUGACGCUGAGGCGCGA
rnacentral:rRNA from 1 species